rnacentral:misc_RNA from 1 species
CAUGUGUACACAUGGAAGUCACGGUCACACACAGUCACCAUCAGUAGCGUGUAGCGCGUACACACUCUAUUCAUUCCCUCCAAAGCCAAAUGGACUUUAUAUUUGUAGUUACAGCUACGGGAUAACACUGGCUUACGAAACAUGUUAAAUACUAUUGAUGUGAUCUUACGGUAUUGAGGAGUUUUUACAUCAACUAAAAAGUGGAACCACAUGUCAUUGUUCAUUCAAAUGAGAACCACGUUAUUGGCCUUGAUAUAUGUUACAUGUAGUACACAUCGGAAUAUUGCAAUCUCACUCACUACAGGAAAUAAUUUCGUUUGGAAAAUACAUUACUUUGGAAUAUAUUCUGAGAAGAAUUGAUUGGAACUGGUCUAAAGUCCAUGCCCACCCAUGGUUGUUCUUUCAAACUCUACUAAACUUGCAGCAAUCUACAAAUCGAGGCAAGAUGAAAAGGGGCAGGGUGUUAACCCCGAAGCAGAUGGAACGGGUGAGGGACCACCGGUACGUGGUGGAAGGGAGAACCCUUCUGGAUCCUAUCAUGCAAGUGUUGUGGUGUCGGCUGUUUAGUAUGAUCCCACCAAGAAUCAACUGCAAUGUCAUCACCAUGGUUGGCUUAGCACUCAAUAUGACCAGCUUUACAAUCCUUAUGUGUUACUCCCCCACCGCGACCGAUGAGGUUCCAUUGUGGGCGUGUGCACUGGCCUCGGUAACCAUGUUCCUGUAUCAGAUCUGCGAUGCUUUGGAUGGGAAGCAGUGUUUGCGCGGACUAGCCAACAAAAAGGACUGGCAUAUUGCGGAGAUAGUUGACCACGCGAGCGACUCUGUCUCCACAGUCUUUGUGACCAUCCAGUUAGCAAUCUGCAUGCGGAUUGGUGAACGGCCUGAGCUAUUUUUGACACUGAUGCUUACGGCGAUGUUCAUGUUCUUCACAGCGCACUGGCAGACUUACAUCUCCGGAGUGGUCAGAUUUGGAACACUAGACGUGACAGAGUCGGAGCUCGCACUUUGCUUUGGUUACCUGUUAACAGCGAUCAUUGGACAACAGUUCUGGGCCCAAAAGGUGUAUGGGGUGGAGUGGAGAGAGGCUGUGGUGAUUUCUUCAGCAGUGAUGGCCGUCAUCAAGUUGGUCAACCAUGCCAUAUUCAUCUGGAGACGAGGUUACAGGCUAACCGUGGCGGGCACAAGUGUGUUUUCGCCGUUUCUGAGCAUCGCCAUGGUCUUCGUUUUGGCUAUCAUUACCAAGGAGAUGACAGACUUAUGUGACUAUCAGCCAUGCAUCUUUUUCAUCGUGUUUGGACUGCUGGAAGCAAAGAUGUCCAACAAACUCAUGCCCUGUACCUGGAGUGGCUUGUAGCCUCGUUCAGGGCAACAUCGUUCCGAGGGUGUCGAUCAGUACGUUCCUACCACUACCUGCUCUCUAACCCUGGUAGCUUACAUGACCAAGUCCAAGUUUACUCCGAUGGACUCCAUUUUUCUUGGCCCGCUGGUUCUUCUAGCAAACCAGCUCUUGAAUAAUCCACUGUCAAGCCAUUUGCUACUUUGGGCCGUCGUGGU